GAAAAGUUUCCUAGUUCUUUAAAGAAAAAUGAAAUUCAUCUCUUGGUGGCACUGUAUUGAAGUCAACAAAGGUGGUGUAAGAUUGUCUAUUUUAAGAUUUUUCAGUUUCAGUAUUAUUUCAGAUGUCCUCCCUGGAUAGCCUGGUAUCUGUGAUCUUCUGUAUAAUAUUAGAGUUUGGAUCCAAAGCCAUACAAGCUUUGGAUACCAAAAAGUUCUCCUUCAAGGCUACUGUGAAAAAGAUUUGGAUUGAGACCAUCUGAGACCAGUAAAAGUUUUGGCAUCAUAUAUAUAUCUGAUCAAGUAUGUGUGUUUGCUUUCCUAUACUGUCAUUUCAACCUUGGAAGAUCUGCACUGUGGAUUUCUACGUACAUAUCUAUCCACGUAAUAAGCAUUCAAACACUGUAAAUAGUGUGGGAAAUGUCAGAUAUAGGGAGGAUAAAAGGAGAAUCUUCAGGCCCAUGGAAGUAUUUCUCAAAGAUGAGGAACCUUUUAUUUUCAGCUGUCUGAGAACUACAUUCAAAAGACAGCGCCUAUGGGACUGCUGGAGCUCUCUCCGAUCCCCAGAGAGACAGCUGAAGCCUUCGGAUAACGGACAGACUUUCUUUGACAUCAGGAAACAAAACAGCAUUUUGAAGGAUAACAGAGAGAGAGUGAAGUCAGAAUGAGUUUUACUUCAAAAUAUUCAAGAAUUCUAUCAAUCAUUCAAG
rnacentral:lncRNA from 1 species